rnacentral:rRNA from 1 species
UACGUAGGGUGCAAGCGUUAAUCGGAAUUACUGGGCGUAAAGCGCGCGUAGGCGGGUCUUUAAGUGAGGGGUGAAAGGUUCGGGCUCAACCCGGACACUGCCUUUCAUACUGGGGAUCUUGAGUGCGGGAGGGGCGAGUGGAAUGGUCGGUGUAGCGGUGAAAUGCGUAGAUAUCGAUCGGAACACCCAUGGCGAAGGCAGCUCGCUGGCCUGCAACUGACGCUGAGGCGCGAAAGCGUGGGGAGCAAACAGG